GCGGUGGCUGAGUGGUAGUGCACUUGCCUGGUAUGUAUGAGGCACUGGGUUUGAUUCUCAGCACCACA
rnacentral:tRNA from 1 species